rnacentral:rRNA from 1 species
CAAGUCGAGUGCGCGUCCGUAGCAAUACGGAUGGCGCACGGCGCACGGGUGCGUAACACGUGGGCAAUCUGCCCUCGGAUGGGGGAUAACCCCGCGAAAGCGGGGCUAAUACCGCAUGACAUUCCGGAGACCUCGGUCUUUGGAUUCAAAGGUCGCAAGAUCGUCUGAGGAGGAGCCCGCGCCCGAUUAGCUAGUUGGUGAGGUAACGGCUCACCAAGGCUUUGAUCGGUAGCCGGUCUGAGAGGAUGGCCGGCCACACUGGAACUGAGACACGGUCCAGACUCCUACGGGAGGCAGCAGUGGGGAAUAUUGCGCAAUGGGCGAAAGCCUGACGCAGCGACGCCGCGUGGGGGAUGAAGCUUCUCGGAGUGUAAACCCCUUUCGACCCGGACGAAUGACCCGCAAGGGUUUGACGGUACGGGUAUAAGAAGCCCCGGCUAACUACGUGCCAGCAGCCGCGGUAAUACGUAGGGGGCCAGCGUUGCUCGGAAUUACUGGGCGUAAAGGGUUCGUAGGCGGUGCGGCAAGUUGGGAGUGAAAUCUCUGGGCUUAACCCAGAGGCUGCUUUCAAAACUGCCGUGCUCGAGUGCGAGAGAGGUCAGUGGAAUUGCAGGUGUAGCGGUGAAAUGCGUAGAUAUCUGCAGGAACACCCGUGGCGAAGGCGGCUGACUGGAUCGCAACUGACGCUGAGGAACGAAAGCUAGGGGAGCAAACAGGAUUAGAUACCCUGGUAGUCCUAGCCCUAAACCAUCAGGACUUGGGGUGGCCCGCGUAGGCGGGUCGUCCCGUAGCUAACGCGUUAAGUCCUGCGCCUGGGGAGUACGGUCGCAAGACUGAAACUCAAAGGAAUUGAC